AGGGUUGUAACUCAGUGAUAGAGUGUCUGCUUUCUGUGCUGAAGGUCUCGGAUUCAAUCCCUGGCAUCUCCA